rnacentral:rRNA from 1 species
GACGAACGCUGGCGGCGUGCCUAAUACAUGCAAGUCGAACGAAGCUGUUUUAACUGGUGCUUGCACCGACUUAAACAACUGAGUGGCGAACGGGUGAGUAACACGUGGGUAACCUGCCCCAAAGCGGGGGAUAACAUUUGGAAACAGAUGCUAAUACCGCAUAAUCACAGAAACCACAUGGUUUCUGUGUCAAAGAUGGUUUCGGCUACCACUUUGGGAUGGACCCGCGGCGUAUUAGCUAGUUGGUAAGGUAAUGGCUUACCAAGGCAAUGAUACGCAGCCGAACUGAGAGGUUGGUCGGCCACAUUGGGACUGAGACACGGCCCAAACUCCUACGGGAGGCAGCAGUAGGGAAUCUUCCACAAUGGACGAAAGUCUGAUGGAGCAACGCCGCGUGAGUGAAGAAGGUUUUCGGAUCGUAAAACUCUGUUGUCAGAGAAGAACGUGUGCGAGAGUAACUGUUCGUGCAGUGACGGUAUCUGGCCAGAAAGCCACGGCUAACUACGUGCCAGCCGCCGCUGUAA